GCUUUAGGGCCCUUUAAUUGGGGCUCUUAAGGCCCAUUCAAUGCUGUGAAUUUACUGUUUGUCAGUUGUUGGGGUUUUUGAUUUAUUUUUAAUGUCUUCCUUUUUUCUUUUUUUUUUUUUUCUUUUUUUUUAGGUAUCUCUAGCAAUACUGUUCUAUUUAUUGCUACACCUUUUAAGUUUGUAAGAAUAAGUCAGAAUGACUAUAGCACAAAAGGCAGUUAGAAGUGUGUUGUGAAAGCAAACAUACUUGCUGGGCUCAUAAUCAUUUACUUUAAAUUGCUUUAGUAAUACAUAAUCUUCAAAGUUUUAGGCAACGUGUUUGACAGAAUAGUUGUACUGUUUCUGCAAUUCUUUCUGCUUUGUCUGCUUUCAUAUGUAGGUAAGAUUUCAAAUUUUUUGAGAGGAUGGGAACAGAUCUUCUGGUUUUCUGACAAAAGCUGAAACAGUUUGUACCUUUGCUUUGGUAGAAAAUCUGUUUUAGGCACAGCAGUGGUCCUGAGACAAAUCUCACACCGGUGUGAAUCAGGAGCAAUUUUGCUACAAUCAGGGAAGUUACAGUCACUUGAUCCUACUGUAAAUUAGAAUCAAGCCUUAAAUCUCUCAAAGUAAGUUUGUGAUGGCUCAAGCAUUUGUUUUACUUAUUAAAAAAAAAAAAAAAGAAAAAAAAAAGAAAAAAAAAAAAGGCAGUUAAAGCCAAUCUUAAAAUGUACAUUCAUUUUCUGCUGCUACAAUAAUAUUAAAAGCCCAGCCUGGCUCCUCUGAGGUAUUGUAAGGCCCGUUCCAUCCAUUUCCUUUUAAAUGGUAACCACGCCUGGGUGCAACAUAGUGAUGAACUCCCUCCUCUUGCCCUUUAAUGUCUUUCCUGUCUGUGGAACUAAUCUAACUGUGCUAGUCAUAACACUACACAAUUAGCUUAGUAACAGUCAUCAAAAUGUACCAUGUACAUUAAUGAUGAGUGCUGUUGAUCGGCAUAGAUUUCUAGGAGCAUGGUUUGUUAUUGAUUAAUUAUAAAGAUUCAAUAUCUGAGUGUAAAGGACACUCCAUUUAAGUGAUGGUGUUAUCCAUAAUAGCAUCCCAGUCAUGAUCGUUAUGCUACUAACUAUUCUACUUAAUAAAAUUCAAUGAAGAAUUACCUUUAGAGAUCAUCCCCCACUCCUGAACUUGGACAGGGCCUCUCAUGCAUGCCUUUUCAAAGUCCUGUGGUGGGCCCGAUGUCAUUGACCUCUACUUUUUAUCCCAUCUUUCAUAGAAUUCACUUUUGAUUUUUUAAAAUUACCUUACAUGCAGUGGUUAAUGGAGAUAACUGUGUAUAUGAAUGUUUUUUUAAAAAUUGUCUAUGAUAGCUUACUCUAUUUAGGAGAGUUCCAGUACUCAUUUUACUAAGAUUUAAUUGAUUUGUUAAUUGAAUUUUGAAUCCCUCCCACUACAAGCAAGUCAGCUCCAAAGAGCGCUUACUGUACAUCUGGGACAUUUCUGUCAUAUGCUUCUCUUUGUUCAUCUGUCGCCAGAGGUUCUUGCUCAGUAAUGAUGUUUUGAGAGAAUUAGUAAUAUUGUUGGUCUGGAUUUGUUAGAAAAGGAGAAGUAUAACCUUUACAUUUGAAAGAAACUGUAAGCUUUCAUCUUUUCACAUAAUAAUUGAACAAAACACUAAAAGCAAUUUGGGGUAAGCAUUUCUUAGAAUGCAGUUAUAUGGUCCACCUGGUUUAAAAAUGUUUGGUACUUAAAAGAAAAACAAAAAAAGUCUGAUUAAAUUUACCUCAAAAAAUCUAAAAUUUCAACA
rnacentral:lncRNA from 7 species